rnacentral:tRNA from 1 species
GCCUGGCUGGCUCAGUUGGUAGAGCAUGUGACUUUUAAUCUUGGGGUUGUGAGUUCAAGCUCCACAUUGGGCA